rnacentral:rRNA from 1 species
UGCUUCAAUUGCCGGCGACCGGCGCACGGGUGAGUAACGCGUAUCAACCUUCCGUACACUCAGGGAUAGCCUUUCGAAAGAAAGAUAAUACCUGAUGGUAUGAUGAGAUUGCAUGAUAGCAUCAUUAAAGAUUUAUCGGUGUACGAUGGGGAUGCGUUCCAUUAGGUAGUAAGCGGGGUAACGGCCCACCUAGCCAACGAUGGAUAGGGGUUCUGAGAGGAAGGUCCCCCACAUUGGAACUGAGACACGGUCCAAACUCCUACGGGAGGCAGCAGUGAGGAAUAUUGGUCAAUGGACGAGAGUCUGAACCAGCCAAGUAGCGUGAAGGAUGAAGGUCUUACGGAUUGUAAACUUCUUUUAUAAGGGAAUAAACCCUCCCACGUGUGGGAGCUUGUAUGUACCUUAUGAAUAAGCAUCGGCUAACUCCGUGCCAGCAGCCGCGGUAAUACGGAGGAUGCGAGCGUUAUCCGGAUUUAUUGGGUUUAAAGGGAGCGCAGACGGGUCGUUAAGUCAGCUGUGAAAGUUUGGGGCUCAACCUUAAAAUUGCAGUUGAUACUGGCGUCCUUGAGUGCGGUUGAGGUGUGCGGAAUUCGUGGUGUAGCGGUGAAAUGCUUAGAUAUCACGAAGAACUCCGAUUGCGAA